AGCCAGCGACGCCCUGCCAGCCAUGCCGAGCAAUCUCUCGCGGGGCGAGCGAGGGCGGUUCUGGCCAUGAGCAUGGGGAAGGCCAAAGAGGAGGAGGGGCAGGAGGAGACCGAUGGGGAGGCGGUAUGGGAGUGCUUGAACCUGUUCAGGCACGAGAGGAGCUACCGGAGGAGAGACC
rnacentral:SRP_RNA from 11 species